ACUACGGGUGGCAGCAGUGGGGGAUAUUGCACAAUGGGGGAAACCCUGAUGCAGCGACGCCGCGUGUGGGAAGACGGUCCUCUGGAUUGUAAACCACUGUCCCCAGGGACGAAGAUGACGGUACCUGGGGAGGAAGCUCCGGCUAACUACGUGCCAGCAGCCGCGGUAAUACGUAGGGAGCGAGCGUUGUCCGGAAUUACUGGGUGUAAAGGGAGCGUAGGCGGGACUGCAAGUUGGGUGUCAAAUCUACCGGCUCAACCGGUAGCCGCACUCAAAACUGCAGUUCUUGAGUGAAGUAGAGGCAGGCGGAAUUCCUAGUGUAGCGGUGAAAUGCGUAGAUAUUAGGAGGAACACCAGUGGCGAAGGCGGCCUGCUGGGCUUUUACUGACGCUGAGGCUCGAAAGUGUGGGGAGCAAACAGGAUUAGAUACCCGAGUAGUC
rnacentral:rRNA from 1 species